UGAACUACCGCGCCCAACUGAACACUGUCUUUAUAAAAACACAGUCCUUUCAGAUGUCGGGACUUAUUAAUAAUUAAAUAUAUUCAAAUUUAUUUGCAACAAAAAAUUACCUUUCAUAGAAAUGUUACAUUAAAAAAUAUAUUUUAACUUAUACUUGAUGUCAUUGGAACUUUGUUAAACUUUGUUUAUAUUUUAGUGAAAGGAGAGGAAAAUGUUUGAUCAGAAAAAAAUCAAUAUAUUUCUAAUAUAUUGAAUAUUAUCCUAUCAUUGCCACAUAUUGUGCUCUAUCAGAAUUACAUGUCAUCUUCGUCUUUUCCUACUGUGGGAAUUCGAUCAAUUUGUAAAACAACAUAAUUUUUUUUCUAUGGGCCAAACACUGAUUAGAAUGGGUGAAACAUAAUACUGCUCUGAGGUAGCUGAAGCUAAUGGUAUUAAACACAAAGCCAUGUGGUAGAUCUGCAAUUAAAAAAAAAAAUCACAUGUAAUGGAGGAACUGACAUGCAGUACAAUUUUAUAAAUUAUGGGUUGUUGUAGCCUGUAGUUUUAACAUGAUACAAACAUCACAUAAUUGUCCUAUAAAGGUUAGAGUAAUUUCAUUGCUACAUUGACCUGACAGUUGCAGGAGUACAAUAGCUCUCAAUAAGGUAAAAUUGUGUUUUUGGUGGUUUUGGAGAAAGCUUUGAGGACUUGUUUUAGGAAAAGGCAUUUAAUCUAUUUACAACAUUAUGUUUUUGUAUUACUGGCAUUUCUUUUAAAGUAAUUCAGUAUAUUAUCACUAUAAGCUCAGAAUUCCCUUUUCCUAAAUAGAAAGUGACCUAUUUUACUGACUUUUAAAAAUGUAAGAUUACAUUACAUUUAACAACAUCAACUGUCCAUUGCAAACAGCAGUGAAGGAGACCAGUGGUGCAGGAGAUACAAAACUUUUUCACGCUUACUUUUGGAUGACACAUGUUAUAUAGCAAAUGCACCUUUCUGGUGGAGUCUUUUAUGUUAAAUUUGAUUUGUAUUCAUUUUACUGACAGCAGGAGAUUGGUAGCCUAAAAUCAUGGUAGCUUGAAGAGGGUUUUCAACCUGGCAUAAAUUUCCUUUUUCUGUGAGGAAUCCACAGGUAAGAAAUGACUGUUAGAACAGAAAGAUGAUUAAGCACUUUGUAAGUGCAGGGUUAUGUGAAAGUGGUUCAUAAUUAUAAUGUGAAUACAUUCCAGAUUCUGUUAAUGACCACCUCAACAUCAUACAGUAUAGCCAUUUUAAUAUGAUGAUGUUACGUGAACCUGUUAUACAACUACUUUAUAAUUUUACUGCGGGUGAUGUGUGUUGAAGUGAUCAUUAAACGUGCCUGUGUGCGCGUGUGUGUGUAUGUUUCUGUCCCUAUGUUAUCUUUAUCAUCGGUGUGAAACACGACUUCCUCUAUAUACACGUUCAAAUUAUUAGUUCCUUAAGUGGAUCUGAUAAAUCCUUGGAAAAAGAAUGAGAAUUUUGAGAAGUAAUGUGUGUUAGUUCCUUAAGUGGAUAUGGUAAAUUCUUGGAAAAAGAAUGAGAAUUUUGACAGAUAAUGUAUAUUUGAUUCCUUUCUGAAGUGGAGCAUAGUCUUGCCAUCUGUCUUUGGCUCUUUUUAUGACUGGUUCUGUGACCGUUGAACAGGCCAUAUACAUUAUCUGAGUGCAUGAGAAAAGCUCUACAGAGAAUGGUGGUAGGCUGGUAUGAAAGGCGCGAUGUUGUUGUAGGGAGUGGGCCCCGGGCCGUCACCGUCACCUCGGCCGCUGCCGCUGUCGCCAUCGCCUUGUGCCCCCGUCCCCCGCCAUGGCCGAGGACCUCUCCGCGGCCACAUCCUACACUGAAGAUGAUUUCCACUGCCCCGUCUGUCAGGAGGUGCUCAAAACACCCGUGCGGACCGUGGCCUGUCAGCACGUUUUCUGUAGAAAAUGUUUCCUGACUGCAGUGAGGGAAAGCAGAGCACAUUGUCCCCUAUGUCGUGGAAAUGUGACUAAAAGAGAGAGAGCAUGUCCUGAAUGGGCCUUAGACCUUGAAAGUAUAAUGAGGAAGUUUUCUGGUAGCUGCAGAUGCUGUGCAAAACAGAUUAAACUCUAUCGCAUGAGACAUCAUUACAAAUCUUGUGGGAAGUAUCAGGAUGAAUAUAGUGUUUCUUCUAUCAUUCCAAACUUUCAGAUCUCUCAGGAUUCAGUAGGGAAUAGCAGUAGGAGUGAAACAUCCACAUCUGAUAACACAGAAACUUACCAAGAGAAUACAAGUUCUUCUGGUCAUCCUACUUUUAAGUGUCCCGUGUCAAGAAUCAAAUUUUACCAGAGAGCGUUUACUGGAUCACUGUAACAGUAAUCACCGAUUUCAGAUAGUUCCUGUGACAUGUCCUAUUUGUGUGUCUCUUCCUUGGGGAGAUCCUAGCCAGAUUACCAGAAAUUUCGUUAGUCAUCUAAAUCAGAGACAUCAGUUUGAUUAUGGAGAAUUUGUGAAUCUUCAGCUAGAUGAAGAAACCCAAUAUCAAACUGCUGUUGAAGAAUCUUUUCAAGUAAACAUCUGAAGGCUGUAGACAUCUCUGCAUCUUUGUACCUGCAAGUGCCAUCUUUAAGGGGGAAACUACAUGAAGUCACCGUUUCAGUAACUUGAUGUGUAAAUAAAAGUAAUUCAG